GGGCAUGUGGUGUAGUUGGUUAUCACGCUCGCUUAGCAUCCUUGGGAGCCUGCGAGAGGGGUCCGGUUCAAUCCCGGACAUGUCCA
rnacentral:tRNA from 1 species